GCCAGAGGCAAGAGUCAUUCCCCUCCGGCAUUCACUUCUCUAAUUCUGUGGGGGCCCACCUUCUUGCAGCUUCCUCCAGGGUGGUUGGAAAGGUCUCUUCUUCUACUGAUAGGCUCUCUCUGAACAUCCCAAGAGCUUAUGUGUCUGUGAUGCAUAAGGAACAGGAAAUAAUUUUAUUUUUCUAUAUUAAAUACGAUAAGAGUUCCCUCUCCUCAAUAACAUUGGCUAACAAUUCUAUAUCAUGAACUUUUUUUUUUUUUUUUACAGAUCCCACACCCUUCCUUUGGUUGUACCAGACCUAGUACUCACACAGUCCUAGGAAGACAGCAGCACUGAGCCUUGACCCAUGACAGUCGAUCCAUGGUCCUGUUAAAGGUGGCUCUAUGCUCUCAGUGUCAGGAUUUGUCAGAACAUCCACCCAAUCUUCCAAGAUCUAGUGCCUAAUGCCCACAUCACCACUGUUAGCCCACAGAGAUGAGACCCAAGGUUACUGCUGCUGUAAGAAAACCACAAGGUAUCACAUUUCCCAAUCUUCUGGGACCCAACUCACACCAGGAUUGUCACAUCAUCCAGCUUCAUCAAGUCUAGACUGUGUUUAGAUCAACACUCAAAUCUUAAAUAGACCAAGCAGGUAACACAAAUGGGCUAAAUAAGUGCCUAUGUGUAAUACAAGAGGGAGUGGUGGGGGACAUGGCAAAUUGAAGAGUCACAAACCAUUUUGGAACAUAGACCUAGUGUGACCUAGUGUGCUAGAGAGUUGACUCAAUGGCUGGCACUCCAUAGGUAGCUUCAGUAUGGGACUGGUCAUAGGAAAGACCAGGGCAGGAUUAUAGGGUUGGAUCUUUCAACCACACCAUUCACCUUCUAAAUCGAUCGCCAAUGGCCUUGUAAAAACAUAGACCUAGUGUGGCCUGAUUUCAUUUUAUUUUUUAAAUAAGACAAAUCUGGAUUUUUAUGUGGAGUUUCUUGAUUUUAAAAUAUAAAAUUUUAAAAAAUGGUUUUAAAAUAUGUUAAGGACUCUUAUUAAUUUUGUUGGGUGUGAUAACAAUGUGGUAGUUUUGUUUUAAAAAUACAUGAUGAAGUCUUAACAGAUGAAAUAAAAAUUUUUUUUAAGAUUCUCUAAGAAAAAAAAAACAUGUGAAGGAACCCUAAUGUGAUAGUUUUACAUUAUGGCCAUAAAUUAUUUGAUAUUCCUUCCCUCAAGAGGUAGCAUCUAAUUCCCUAUUCUUCCAGAGUGAACUGGGACUUGGUGAUUUGUUCCUAAGGAACAGAAUAAGGCAGAAGGGAGAGUAAGGGACUUAGGAGGCAAGGUCACAACAGGUAUUGAGGCUUGCUCUUCUUUCCCUUUUGGAUUGCUUUCUCUGGGGGAAAUUAGCUGCUGUGUGGUAAGGAUACUCAAAUGACUUUGGGGGAGGGCCCACAUAGAAGUCAGGGGCCCUCCUUCUAAUAGCUCUCUGAGUGUACAUGCUAGAUAACAGGUCAUCUAGCCCAACUGAGUUCUCGGUAUAGACCCUGCCACAUUCUGACACAACCUCAGGAAUGACGCUGAGCCACAUCCCCCAGAUAAGCUGUUCCUCAAUUCCUGAACCACAGAAAUAAUGAGAUUAAUAUUUGUUUAUCUUAAUCCAUUUUCUGUUGCUAUCACAUAAUACUUGAGACUGAGGCGUUCAUAAGGAAAAGAAGCCUUUUUAUCUCACAGUUCUGGAGGCUAGACGUCCAAGACUGGGCCACUACCCUGGUGCACCCUCAUGCUACAUCAUAACAUGAUGGAAAAGGGAAGGACGAGUGGAUGGAAAGUUGUUAUUUUUUUAAGGAAAAAAAAAUGAAUAGUACCCUUUCACCAAAACAUAAUUUUUCCUGGAAACUAAUACAGAUGAUAGAAUAUGAAAGAUGUGAAACUCAGACUUUCUGGUUCACUGCUAUAUUCUCAGGUCUGCAAGUCUCUGGUGGGUGAGGAUUGCC
rnacentral:lncRNA from 1 species